CUGUAUUCAGCAUUCCAAUUGAAACAGUGUAACUUUUACUUAAUUUCUGGAGCCCACCAAUCAUGAUCCAACACUUGAUUACUUGGGUGCUAUUUUACUAUUAUGGAACCACAUGUAAGUUUUGUUUUUUUCAGUACUUUUAUUGCAUUUUAAAAAACUAACAUCAGAAUUAACAUCUCACAAAUAUUUACUCCUUUUCAACAAAUUGUGCAUAUUUUUUCAGAUUAGGUUUCAAAGAUUUGCCUCAGUCAGUAGCAUUCUUCAGUGCAGUAGACAUAGAUUAUGUUCUUCGAAAAGAGCCUCAUCUAGACUGUGUUACACCUUCAAAUCCUGAAGGACUGAAUAAAGGGUAUGGAAUUCCUCCAGGAGAGGCACUUGAUAUGCAGAAAAUUCUUGAGAUCACCUCAGGUAUUCUUGAGAAGAAUGGAGAAGUUGCCAGAUGAUAGUGUCAUUUUGCUAAUAACAAUUGGACACUUGAAUUUCCUGAGUCUACCAGACUAGUUUAUUGGACCACCAUAGGAGGCAUCAAGUGUGGUGGGACAAGUGAAAGAUAGAAUGAGUGUGGCUGAAGGAAAAAGUACCAAUAACCAAUCUUUGGGAGUGUGAUAAAUGCGGAUUAAGUUCAUGUUUCUGGUCAAUACAUAAUAGUCUUUAAUAAAUCACAUUAUUAUUUGUUUGUUGCAUUAUUAUUUUUUUUUUUUUUUUUUUUUUUUU